UCCCUGGUGGUCCAGGGGUUAGGGCUCUGCACUUCCACUGCAGGGGACAAGGGUUCAAUCCCUGGUUGGGAA
rnacentral:tRNA from 1 species